AGCGAACGCUGGCGGCAGGCCUAACACAUGCAAGUCGAGCGGCCGUAGCAAUACGGCAGCGGCAGACGGGAUAGUAACACGUGGGAACGCGCCCUUCGGUUCGGAAUAACUCAGGGAAACUUGAGCUAAUACCGGAUACGCCCUUACGGGAAAGAUUUAUUGCCGAAGGAACGGCCCGCGUCGGAUUAGCUAGUUGGUGAGGUAAUGGCUCACCAAGGCGACGAUCCGUAGCUGGUCUGAGAGGAUGACCAGCAUCACUGGGACUGAGACACGGCCCAGACUCCUACGGGAGGCAGCAGUGGGGAAUAUUGGACAAUGGGCGCAAGCCUGAUCCAGCCAUGCCGCGUGGAUGAUGAAGGCCCUAGGGUUGU
rnacentral:rRNA from 1 species